AACGAACGCUGGCGGCAUGCCUAACACAUGCAAGUCGAACGAGACCUACGGGUCUAGUGGCGCACGGGUGCGUAACGCGUGGGAACCUGCCCUUAGGUUCGGAAUAACUCCCCGAAAGGGGUGCUAAUACCGGAUAAUGUCUUCGGACCAAAGAUUUAUCGCCUUUGGAUGGGCCCGCGUUGGAUUAGCUAGUUGGUAGGGUAAAAGCCUACCAAGGCGACGAUCCAUAGCUGGUCUGAGAGGAUGAUCAGCCACACUGGGACUGAGACACGGCCCAGACUCCUACGGGAGGCAGCAGUGGGGAAUAUUGGACAAUGGGCGAAAGCCUGAUCCAGCAAUGCCGCGUGAGUGAUGAAGGCCUUAGGGUUGUAAAGCUCUUUUACCCGGGAUGAUAAUGACAGUACCGGGAGAAUAAGCUCCGGCUAACUCCGUG
rnacentral:rRNA from 1 species